UUAGGUCAGUUAGGAUCAACACUUUAUUUUAAGAAUGUGAAAUGUCAGAAUAAUAGUAGAGAGAAUUAUUUAUUUAAGCUUUUAUUUCUGUCAUCACAUUCCCAGUGGUGAGAUGGGAAGAGGUCUUGGCUUUUGAAAUUGCAAGGCAUCUAGCUCUGUAAUAAUCCUUGUAGGUUACUCAUAAUCCUACACAAAGGUGAAGACUGAGUGUACUGUAUUCAUCAAAAGCUGUUAACAUAAUGUACGUGUGCACACCCAGAGUUAAUGAAGGUUCUGCCCUCAAGGUUUGGAGAGGGCAGAGAAACAUCUCUGUAUUUAUCAAGGAAUUGGACCACAUAGCUCCAUCUGAUGCUAAGCAUGCACUGCCGACAUUGUAAAACAACACCUGAAACAUCAUGCAUGUCACCAGAAAAAAAAAGUUGUUGCUGUGGCCUUGCAUAGGGAAACCAUAAGAACGAUUAACUUGAAGGGAAUCAGUAACCUACACAGGUUUUUGGGGGUUUACUAGGCCUACAAACUACUGCCAAUACACACACUUGUUAUUGUGAAAACUGUCCUCAACCCGGACUCCGGGGUAGAUGGAACAUAGUAAAUCUAAAUCUGGGACACUACAUUUAGUAUGAUAUGUUAUAUUUCAUAUGGUAUGUAUUCAUUUGUGGAUGUGCAUCAUCCAUUUCGGAUGAUAUGUUACAAAUUGCAAUUUGUACAAUGUCACCACAACGUCAUAAAAUGUGCUAUUUUAGUUGAAAAGAAAGAUAUGUAUUGGUAAUAAUAUUUUUGUUACAAUUUGGAAGUUUUCUUAAUUAUAUGUAUUCAUUGUCAUGUCUAAAUGUCCAUAUAUGUCUUGAUGAUACUCAAAAACAUGUUUUUACCACAUCAAAAUCUUUAUAUUUGACAUUAUUUUAGGGAUUAAGAACAAGCAUAUAAGGUUCACAUAUGGGAGAAAUCAUAAAUCAAUUUAAUACACUGUUUCCUAAAAAUAUAUGUACCCUGAUGGUAAUGACUUAGCAUUGUGGUAAUGACAGUGUCAUGGAAAUAACAUUUCACAUAAAACAUUUUAAUUCAAAAGGGACUUAUUUUGGUGAGCUCUGUGUAUGACCACUUGACCUCUGGUAAUUCUGGUAAUUCUAUCUUGAACUUCUGAUGGAGUUUUGCCAGUGUGUCGUUCAUGUAUCGCUUCUGCAUUUCAUUCUUUUGUCUUGUCAAUCUUUCCUUUUUCCUGUUGAUGCUCGACUGUUACCAUCACGUUCCUAAAAACGUUUUAUUUAAUCUUCUAUUGAUGGGCUGAUUGCAUUCGAAUGUUUCUUUUUUGAGUACCACAGACAAGUUGGCCGUUUUGUUGUUUGCCCGCAUUGUCUUCACAGAGAAUCCAUAUUCUAUUUGCCAUUUUCACCAUACAAUACUUUUUCAGUAUUUUCCCAGCCAAAACCUUGGAUAUCACUGGUGGGUCUUUUGCACUCGGUUGCUUCUGGUAUUUCUCUCUCAGCUCUGAGAUGAUGGUGUUAUGUUAUUUUUUUCAGAUUCUGUGGCUUUGACCGCAUUUGUUGUUUUGUUUUUGUACCGGAGGAAUCCAAAAUUCUGAUCUUUUCUGACAAUCUAUUAUAUCUUUUUAAAAAUAAUUUCCCUCCACAUUCUUUCCGCGGCCUUCAACUUCAUAUUGGCCAUACAUAGAUCCUUGUAGACUUUGGAUCUGUUUUUUUUACACCUUUUCUACAGCCUCUCUGUCUUGGGGUUUCCGAGUUUGAAUAGGAGGGGGACUCUGGUGACAUUUGAGGGGCAGAUAGGUCAUCAUUCGGUAGCUGUAAGACUUCCUGUGAGUGUGGUGGUGUGUUCCUUGACAGGUAUGACUCCAUAACCACUCCUCUCUGGAUAGUUGAUCUGCUGUUUCUUUGGUUCAUUUUCCAUUGCCUCCUUUUUCUACCCGUUUUUCUCACUGGGAAAGUUGUGAGAUUGGUUUCACAGUUCACCACUUUCUUGUCUCUUGAUUUGUCUUUCUUUGUGUCGUUCGGGUUUGAGUUUUGCCGGGUUAGGCCGUCAUUGUAAAUAAGAAUUUGUUCUUAACUGACUUACCUAGUUAAAUAAAGGUUAAAUAAAUAAAUGCUAUUGGUAUCUAUAGGAUCUUGUUUGAUUUUGUUAGUAUGUGCUCUUGUCCUAUCCUUGGUUGAAUUUGAGGGUAUCUUAUAGAAGAAUAAAUUAAUAAAUAAUUAAAGACAGUAAUAACCUUAGUAAAUCACAUAAAUAGAGAUCAAAUCACUCAAUAAAAUGUAAUGGUCUUAUUUAGCAAAUAAGUGUUAAAUUUCAACAUGAUCAUACGUAUAUGUAAUUUGUGUGUCUUUUCAGGUCUUAAGGUAAGUACAAAUGAAUUAACUAAUACAUUUUGUCAUUACCACCACAUUCUACCCUUACCAUCACAGUUCAUUAUGUGGUGGGAAUAACAUUUUUACAUUAUUUGGUCAUAAAUAGGAAUUCCAGUAUUUUAAAUCCAGUUGAACAGAUACAGUAGCAUACACUGUAUCCUAAAUAAUACAUGUUCAAAACAAUUUUUUAAAAAUCGACGACAAUCAGUUAAAAUAUUUGACCUAUAUCGGAUAGGUCAAAGUUUCAUGGUUCCGACUAGCACAUGAACGCAGCAUUCCAUGCAGCUAUCUAGGCAGGGUAUCAUACACGCAGUCUAAUUAGCGAUUUAAUGUCAUUUUCUAAUAAUUAUUGCAAACAUUGGCUAAGCAAGAGGCAGACAAGCAGUCAAAUUAACAGUGUUAGUUUUCAGCGACGAUAUGGCAGCAACUACAAAUCUUAGCUUGCAUCACCCAAAACGCAGUUUAAUUUUGCUCCAAUGCAAUGUGUAGCGACGACAUUCUGCUUGUGCAACUGCAAUAUACGUUAUAACAGACAUAUGUCAUUGAAUGUUCGUUCAAAUCGCCACAUGGUUUUUAUUUCAGCUGAGGCAGAGACAUAGGCGACAUCAUAAUGGUUCGGAAGAAGGUGAUAAACACGAAGAGAGGAGGAGUGUGAGCAGCUAAGUAGAAAGAAAUGUGUCUGUAAAUAACAUGCGUGAUCCGGAUCCGUAGCUUUGAGAGAGGUUUCCGGGGGCGGGGGUGAAAACAGUUUAUUUGUUUAUUUUAACAUUUAUAUUUUAGUAAUUUAGCAAACACUCUUAUCCAGAGCGGCAUAACAUGUGUUACCAUAUGAAUUUGGAGAGUCAUACAUAAAAGCUGGAACGUCCUUUAUAAAGCCCUGCCGAACUUGAAGCUUGCCAUUGGCUGGCUUCUUCGACACCCUCCUGCCCAUUCCCCCGUUUCCUGGACAACCCUGUCAGGGUGGAGAAAAAUAGCAAAUCAUGUGAGGACAGAGCAUCUUUCUCGCUUUCUCUCCCCCACUCCCCAUCUCCCCCUCCCUCUGUGAAUAUAACAGUAUCUCCAUGCUUUCACACACACCACUCAGUUCAGCGUUGCAGAGGGGAUGGACACAGAGUGCAGGAGCAUACCACCAAAUAGUAAAUCAGUGUGACUGAGACACAUAAUACAACUCCUUCCCAGUGGCAGCGUCUAUGUAAAAUGGGUUGUGGCAAUUCCUCAGCCGCCAGCACCUCAGGAGGGGGACCUGCAGAAACCUCCAAAGAUUUAUGAGUCCUCACCAGACGAUGAGAAAAGAAGGAACUAUGGCGGGGUGUACGUAGGUCUACCAUCUGACAUGACCACCGUUGCAGGCAGCCAGUCCAAGUCCACAGAUAAAA